AUCCGUAGGUGGCAAGCGUUGUCCGGAAUUAUUGGGCGUAAAGCGCGCGCAGGUGGUUACUUAAGUCUGAUGUGAAAGCCCCCGGCUCAACCGGGGAGGGUCAUUGGAAACGGGGGAACUUGAGUGCAGAAGAGGGUAGUGGAAUUCCAAGUGUCGCGGUGAAAUGCGUAGAGAUUUGGAGGAACACCAGUGGCGAAGGCGACUGUCUGGUCUGUAACUGACACUGAGGCGCGAAAGCGUGGGGAGCAAACAGGAUUAGAUACCCUGGUGGUCCACGCCGUAAACGAUGAGUGCUAAGUGUUGGGGGGUUUCCGCCCCUCAGUGCUGCAGCUAACGCAUUAAGCACUCCGCCUGGGGAGUACGGUCGCAAGACUGAAACUCAAAUGAAUUGACGGGG
rnacentral:rRNA from 1 species